GGGGGUAAAGCUCAGUGGUAGAGCACAUGCUUAGCACACAUGAGGUUCUCGGUUCCAUCCCCAGUACCGCCA
rnacentral:tRNA from 1 species